rnacentral:rRNA from 1 species
AUUGAACGCUGGCGGCGUGCCUAAUACAUGCAAGUAGGACGCAGUUGCGAACGGGUGAGUAACGCGUAGGUAACUACCUAUUAGAGGGGGAUAACUAUUGGAAACGAUAGCUAAUACCGCAUACUAGUAGAUGGACCUGGGGUGUAUUAGCUAGUAGGUAGGGUAAUGGCCUACCUAGGCAACGAUGCAUCGCCGACCGGAGAGGGUGAUCGGCCACACUGGGACUGAGACACGGCCCAGACACCUACGGGAGGGAGCAGUAGGGAAACUUCGGAAAUGGGGGGAAGCCUGACCGAGCAACGCCGCGUGAGUGAAGAAGGUUUUCGGAACGUAAAGCUCUGUUGUGAAGGAAGCGGUACUUAACCAGAAAGGGACGGCUAACUACGUGCCAACCGCCGCGGUAAUUC